GUGGUAGUCUCAUAUCAGCGUCAUCACAUUUUUAUUGAGUUCUCUGUUCGUGUUAUACAUCAGGACAUAAAUAGUACUCGUAGCAUAGCAACCUGGGUUUCCAAUAUAACAAGAAAACUUUCGCUUUUAUUUCAAUUUUCACUUAAAUAAUAAUUUAAAAAAAAAACCUCUGUUUAUAUCUGAACUUCAUGCUUGGUAUUUUCACUCUAGUAGGCUACAUCUAGAUACUCUUAACACACAGGUAUAUGUCUAUAGAUGGUGUCACAACAUGCUCAAACCAAAGGCUACAGCAAAAUAGUUUCUAGAGACAAGGUUCAGGGGAGAAAGUGGUGGGGGAAACAAGGGGGAAUGGGGUAAGCCAGGUGUCACUAGGAAUACGAAUGAUUGUGUACAAGUCAUAUAAGGCUCUGGGUAGGCAAAAAAUAAUAAGUAUACAAUCAUCAAAGUAAACUACCUAGCAUGGACUAUGGUUUUAAGUCUACAUACUUAAAAGAAAAACACAAAAAAAAAAACAUACACAUGUUCACUUGGCCAAAUCAGGAAUUUUAAACCCCUUAAUUUAAAAUACAUUACCAAUUAAUCUUGUACAAUGAAACGCAUUACCAAUAAAUCUGAUAGUAUGUGCAAUAUAAGAUUGGUGAAGAAGCUAUUUUUUUUUUUUUAUAUUCCAAGACCUUACCUUUACUCUUUGGCAACUUUCUUUGUCCCCCCCCCCCCCCCCC